rnacentral:lncRNA from 1 species
CUGGACAUGGUGCACUUCCUGUUUGUUAGAAGCUGGGACUGAUUAGAUGCACACAGCACUCAUGGAGGCUUGUAUGAUGAGUACACACACAGACACACCGGCUGCUGUUGGACAGCGGGGCACAGGUCAACAUACCUGCUGACUCUUCUGUGUCUCCGCUGACGCUGGCGGCCUGUAGGGGACAUGCAGAGCUGGCUGCCCUGCUGAUGGAGAGGGGAUACGAUGAGGGAUGCACUCCACACAUAGAGGUUACACAAGAGGGCCAAGAGGAGAUGGUGGCGCUGCUUUUGGAAAGAGCCAUUCCAAAUGCACAUACACACGUGUGUGUCCUCCUGCUGGUGUGUUCGAGCGUUAAGCCUAACGAAGCCGACCGUAGACGAAAGUCGGAGAGUGAAGUUGGGGGUAGGUGCACCUGCGACACCCGAAGGUCAUGCAGUGCGUUGGACAAUGUCCCUCUGCUCUUCUACAUCCUGGCAUGUAGAAGAAGAAGACACGGGCGCCUUGGUGCGGAUCACUUUUGUCAGGGUGGUGACCAACAAUGAUCCUGCCCUGACAAAAGUGAUCCGCUCCAUGCCCCUUCUUCAGUAUCUCUAACGGCCUCCAGACACUGAUCUAAGGUCAGUUUGGUGUUUUGGUCUUGAUGGUUAACGUUUUGAUUUUGGAUUCAUGAGCUGAUUCUAGAUCUGUGCCUAGGAGUAUAAACGCCCUACGCAACAGACUGAUGGAGAG